GAGAGUAUAACUCAGCAGUAGAGUACAGUGCUUGGUAUGCAUGAGGUCCUGGGUUCAAUCCCCAGAACCUCCA
rnacentral:tRNA from 1 species